AGAGUUGAUUCUGGCUCAGGAUGAACGCUGGCGGCGUGCCUAACACAUGCAAGUCGAACGGAGUUAUGACGCUGACGAGACUUCGGUCAAAUCUUGUUGUAACUUAGUGGCGGGCGGGUGAGUAACGCGUGGAUAACCUGCCAUAUACGAGGGGGAUAACAGUUAGAAAUGACUGCUAAUACCGCAUAAGCGCACGGUCCCGCAGUGGGACAGUGUAGAAAAACUCCGGUGGUAUAUGAUGGAUCCGCGUCUGAUUAGCCAGUUGGCGGGGUAACGGCCCAACCAAGCGACGAUCAGUAGCCGGCCUGAGAGGGUGAACGGCCACAGUUGGGACUGAGACGCCGGACCCAAACCUCCGUACGGGAGGCAGCAGGUGGGGGAUAUUGCAACAAGUGGGGGAAACCCUGAUGCAGCCGACGCCGCGUGAGUGAAGAAGUAUUUCGGUAUGUAAAGCUCUAUCAGCAGGGAAGAUAAUGACGGUACCUGACUAAGAAGCACCGGCUAAAUACGUGCCAGCCGCAGC
rnacentral:rRNA from 1 species